AAUACUAGACAUUGUCAUCCCUUCCAGGCAGCUGUACUGUGUCAGUUUCUUGAGGAGGUGGACUACGUGACCGCCUUCCGCUCUUUCCAGGAAAAACACUGUCAGGAUGCCAUGGAUGCUUACUAUGACUGCAUAUGGGAUGUCACCAUUCUGGAGUUUCUGAUUAAUCUACAUGCCAAGAAGGGAGAACUUGAGAAGAAACAAAGGGCUUUGCAUGCCAUUGGUCAGUUGGAAUUGAACAGCAGCAAUUCAGAGGAUAUUCUAGUUCAAGCCAAACAGAAAAGAAUGCAGAAAUUCCUCAGGACAUUAGCCAAGCACUAUCUAUGAGAGAGUGGAAGUGUAUGUGUGUGUUUGUGAGUGUGUGUGUGUGUGUGUUUGAGAGAGAG